GCUCCGGUGGCUUAGUGGUUAGAGCAUCUGCUUUGGAUGCAGGAGGUCUUGGGUUUGAUCCCAGCUCAAGUCA